UACGUAGGUGGCAAGCGUUGUCCGGAUUUACUGGGCGUAAAGAGCGCGCAGGCGGUCGAUCAAGUCGCGUGUGAAAGCCCCCGGCUCAACCUGGGAAUGGCAUUGGAAACUGGCGGGCUUGAGUGUGGCAGAGGGGGGUGGAAUUCCGCGUGUAGCAGUGAAAUGCGUAGAGAUGCGGAGGAACACCGAUGGCGAAGGCAGCUCGCUGGGACGGUAUUGACGCUAAGGCGCGAAAGCGUGGGGAGCAAAUAGG
rnacentral:rRNA from 1 species